UUUCGCACUUUUAUAUUACUCAUGCGCCCCUGGUGGUGGGUGAUGAAACCACAACUUUUAAACCCUUUCGGGUAACUUUGUUUUGAUCUGCUCAUCACUUUGAACCAUGACUAGAAGCUUCAUCAGUUCUAAUACGAACUGAUGAGCUAAUGAGUUAAAACAAAAGAAAUAAUAGGAGCGUCGCGUCGUAUAGCUUACAUGACAAGCAGCGUUAACCGAUCCAAACUUCCUCAUUCAAUCGGUAUCCAAGCUACAGAUAGCUACAGCUUAGUGGAUCGUAGUCCAAUUUCAGUUAUACUCUAAACCACCAGUUAAACACCAAGUUUUUGAUAAAAGGCCCUAGUGCGAGUUUUAAAUCAAAAUUUUGCGAAAACUCAAAUUCCGUGCCGUACCAGAGUACCGCACGAGCAGCGUACCCUCGAGGCGAAGGACGCAAUCAUCCUUCAAGCGAAGGUGCUACGUCGGGGUGUAGGGGAUAGUAC